UACCAGCACCCCGAGUGGUCGGGACGUUUAUUGGGCCUAAAGCAUCCGUAGCCGGUUCUACAAGUCUUCCGUUAAAUCCAACUGCUUAACAGGUGGGCUGCGGAAGAUACUAUAGAGCUAGAAGGCGGGAGAGGCAAGCGGUACUCGAUGGGUAGGGGUAAAAUCCGUUGAUCCAUUGAAGACCACCAGUGGCGAAGGCGGCUUGCCAGAACGCGCUCGACGGUGAGGGAUGAAAGCUGGGGGAGCAGACCGG
rnacentral:rRNA from 1 species